ANUCCUACGGGAGGCAGCAGUCUAGAAGCUUCGGCAAUGGGGGAAACCCUGACCGAGCGACGCCGCGUGGAGGAUGAAGGCCUUCGGGUCGUAAACUCCUUUUAGUAGGGAAGAACGGCAGUUACGCUAAUAUCGUCUCUGUUUGACGGUACCACCAAAGGAAGCACCGGCUAACUCCGUGCCAGCAGCCGCGGUAAUACGGAGGGUGCAAGCGUUGUUCGGAAUUACUGGGCGUAAAGGGCGCGUAGGCGGCCUAUUAAGUCAGAUGUGAAAGCCCACGGCUCAACCGUGGAAGUGCAUUUGAAACUGGUAGGCUUGAGUAUCAGAGGGGAAAGUGGAAUUCCCGGUGUAGAGGUGAAAUUCGUAGAUAUCGGGAGGAAUACCGGUGGCGAAGGCGACUUUCUGGCUGAAUACUGACACUGAGGUACGAAAGCGUGGGUAGCGAACAGGAUUAGAUACCCUGGUAGUCCACGCCGUAAACGAUGUCAACUAGCCGUUGGGAGCUUGAGCUUUCAGUGGUGCAGCUAACGCAUGAAGUUGACCGCCUGGGGAGUACGGCCGCAAGGCUAAAACUCAAAUGAAUUGACGGA
rnacentral:rRNA from 1 species